AAAAUAAUCCUACCCUUGUGAAUUUUGUUUGUUUGAAUAAUUUUUUUUUUAAAAAAUUAUUGGAGUCUUUCCCUUUAGAGUUUGCUUUUGAGUUUGUAAAAGAAUUCCGAAAACAUCUAAAGGGGAUGGUCAAUAAUUUUUUUGAAAAAAGACAUUUUUUAAAAUUAAACUUUUUGUAUUCAUUUGUCUAAAAUUAUUUUUAUAAUAUAAAACAACUUUUGACAAUGGAUCUCUUGGUUCUCGCAACGAUGAAGAACGCAGCAAAAUGCGAUAAGUAGUGUGAAUUGCAGAAUACGUGAAUCAUCGAAUCUUUGAACGCAUAUUGCACUUUUUUAGUUUACUAAAAAAAGUAUGUCUGUUUGAGUAUCAGUAAAAUAUUCUCAUAAAAAUCAUUGUGUAUUUUUAUGGUUAUGAGUGUUUUACAACGAUACAAGUUGUUUCACUUUAAAUUUUUUUUAAUAUUGAAUUUUUCUAAUUUUAAUAAUUAAAAUUGGAUAAAAUUUUCCCGUAAAAAGGAAUAAACCUAAACAAUUUUAAAUGAUUAAUUUUAGCAAAAUUUUCGUAAAAAGGAAAAUUUUUAUUAAAAUAACUUGAUCUCAAAUCAGAUAAGAGUACCCGCUGAACUUAAGCAUAUCAAUAAGCGGAGGAAAAGAAACUAACAAGGAUUCCCUUAGUAACGGCGAGUGAAGCGGGAAGAGCUCAAAUUUGAAAUCUUCAAGGUUUUACCUUGACGAAUUGUAGUUUAAAGAAGUGUUUUCUGCUGAAGUUUUGGUAAAAGUUCUUUGGAAUAGGACAUCAUAGAGGGUGAGAAUCCCGUAUUUGACCAUUAUUUUCAGCUUUGUGAUACACUUUCAAAGAGUCGGAUUGUUUGGGAAUGCAGUCCAAAAUGGGUGGUAAAUUUCAUCUAAAGCUAAAUAUUGGCGAGAGACCGAUAGCGAACAAGUACCGUGAGGGAAAGAUGAAAGAACUUUGAAAAGAGAGUUAAACAGUACGUGAAAUUGUCAAAAGGGAAGCGUUUGACACCAGUGUUGUUUCUCGAAAAUCAAUUAAAAAUGGCUCGAUUUUGUAUUGCUGAGACCUUAAAAGCUCACUGUACAUUUUUCGUGUCUUUUUUAAUGCACUUUUCGUUUAACAAGUCAACAUCAGUUUCUUUUGUUGUAAAAGGGUCAUUGGAAGGUGGCUUUCUUUUCGGAGAAGUGUUUAUAGCCUUUGGCCUCUGCAAUCGGAGAGACUGAGGUCUGCAGCGUAGACUCUUCGGGUUAGAUACAUUUGUGCUAAGUUAUAGCUUUUUAUAGACAACUUGUUGACUAUAAUUAGUCUUGUAGCUUACUCGCUUAUGCUAUUUUACCUACGCUUAGGAUG
rnacentral:misc_RNA from 1 species